UACGUAGGCAGCAAGCGUUGUUCGGAGUUACUGGGCGUAAAGGGUGCGUAGGCGGUUGUUUAAGUUUGGUGUGAAAUCUCCCGGCUCAACUGGGAGGGUGCGCCGAAUACUGAAUGACUAGAGUGCGGGAGAGGAUAGUGGAAUUCCUGGUGUAGCGGUGAAAUGCGCAGAUAUCAGGAAGAACACCCGUGGCGAAGGCGGCUCUCUGGGACGGUACUGACGCUGAGACGCGAAAGCGUGGGGAGCGAACAGG
rnacentral:rRNA from 1 species